GGAUCUAAUGCUACGUUUGGAUCGAUGGAAUAAGAGGGAGAAUGGAAUGAAUCAUUCUAUUAGAAUGAUAAAAAUAUUGUUUGGUUUGUUUAUUCCAACAGAAUAAUGUAUUCCUAGUGGAAUAGGUGUUAACUUAAAAUUAUAAUUUUUAUUCUUAGAAGGGGGGAUCAGGAAUAACUUAUUCCAUCUAUUAUUUUUAAGUAAUUGACAAAUAUACCCCUUAAAAAUCACGGCAAUUCUUCACUAUUACUAGUAGUAAGAAUUAAGAAUUAAAGCGCAUGCUAUUAGGCAACACAUCACUAUAAAAAAAACAUAAAAAAAAAUGCAAAAAAAAAUAAAAAAUAAAAAAAUGCCGAAAACAAACAUAAUAUAAAAAAAAAACCCGUUAAAACAUAAUAUGAACACAUAUUAUAAUAAAAAAACAAACAAACAAAAAUCAACCAAACAAAAAAAAAAGAAAAG
rnacentral:lncRNA from 1 species